AUUGAACGCUGGCGGCAGGCCUAACACAUGCAAGUCGAGCGGAUGAAGGGAGCUUUCUCCUGGCUUCUGCGGCGGACGGGUGGGUAAUGCCUAGGAAUCUGCCUGGUAGUUGGGGAUAACGUCCGGAAACGGGCGCUAAUACCGCAUACGUCCUGAGUGAGAAAGUGGGGGAUCUUCGGACCUCACGCUAUCAGAUGACCCUAGGCCGGAUUAGCUCGUUGGUGGGGUAAAGGCCUACCAAGGCGACGAUCCGUAACUGCUCUGAGAGGAUGAUCAGUCACACUGGAACUGAGACACGGUCCAGACUACUACGGGAGGCAGCAGUGGGGAAUAUUGGACAAUGGGCGAAAGCCUGAUCCAGCCAAGCCGCGUGUGUGAAGAAGGUCUUCGGAUUGUAAAGCUCUUUAAGUUGGGAGGAAGGGCAGUAAGUUAAUCCCUUGCUGUUUUGACGUUACCAAAAGAAUAAGCACCGGCUAACUUCGUG
rnacentral:rRNA from 1 species